rnacentral:misc_RNA from 1 species
UCAAACUGAGACAAGCUGGACUCCCACGAUCUCUCUUAUUAGUCUCAUGCACAAAGGUCUUGAACCUUGACGGGUCUUAUAUCAUCAGAUGAGGCCGCUACAAUGGAUAAAGAUGGAGGAAUAAAAUGGGGAUUCUGACCGGACUGAGGCAGAGGCACUGAUCGACGAGAGGAUCGAAGGAAAGUAGGGACUUAGAUUUGGCCUGGAGCUUUAUAUGCCUCAGUGAGGAAGGGAGAACGGCAAUUACUCUGGCGGCUUGGAAGCUUUUGGAAGAGGAAGCAAUGAUCUUUCUCUCUGUAAUUGUAGGACACUUCAAUUAUACACAUGGAAC